CCAGACUCCUACGGGAGGCAGCAGUGAGGAAUAUUGGUCAAUGGGCGAGAGCCUGAACCAGCCAAGUCGCGUGAAGGAUGACGGCCCUACGGGUCGUAAACUUCUUUUGUCAGGGAGCAAUUGGGUCCACGCGUGGGCUUAGCGAGAGUACCUGAAGAAAAAGCAUCGGCUAACUCCGUGCCAGCAGCCGCGGUAAUACGGAGGAUGCGAGCGUUAUCCGGAUUUAUUGGGUUUAAAGGGUGCGUAGGCGGGCUUUUAAGUCAGCGGUAAAAAUUCGGGGCUCAACCCCGUCCGGCCGUUGAAACUGGGGGCCUUGAGUGGGCGAGAAGAAGGCGGAAUGCGUGGUGUAGCGGUGAAAUGCAUAGAUAUCACGCAGAACCCCGAUUGCGAAGGCAGCAUACCGGCGCCCAACUGACGCUGAAGCACGAAAGCGUGGGUAUCGAACAGGAUUAGAUACCCUGGUA
rnacentral:rRNA from 1 species